ACAAGUACCAAAGAUUUAUUUCUAUGAAUAAAGUAUAUUAUGAAAUAAAGAAAAAAUCCCAUUGCACUUCAGGUAUGCUGACGCCUGCGAUGUCCCCAAAUGCGGGAUACUCGACUGCAAAAUUUGUGGUAGUGGGGGACUGCGAUCGCGCUCUCCCCUG